rnacentral:rRNA from 1 species
AUUGAACGCUGGCGGCAUGCUUUACACAUGCGAGUCGAACGGCAGCGCGGGUUUCGGCCUGGCGGCGAGUGGCGAGCGGGUGAGUAAUACAUCGGAACGUGCCCAGUAGUGGGGGAUAGCUCGGCGAAAGCCGGAUUAAUACCGCAUACGACCUGAGGGUGAAAGCGGGGGAUCUUCGGACCUCGCGCUAUUGGAGCGGCCGAUGGCAGAUUAGCUAGUUGGUGGGGUAAAGGCCUACCAAGGCGACGAUCUGUAGCUGGUCUGAGAGGACGACCAGCCACACUGGGACUGAGACACGGCCCAGACUCCUACGGGAGGCAGCAGUGGGGAAUUUUGGACAAUGGGCGAAAGCCUGAUCCAGCAAUGCCGCGUGUGUGAUGAAGGCCUUCGGGUUGUAAAGCACUUUUGGCGGGAACGAAAAGGACUGUGCCAAUACCACGGUUCGAUGACGGUACCCGCAGAAUAAGCACCGGCUAACUACGUG